UACAGAGGGGGCAAGCGUUAUUCGGAAUUAUUGGGCGUAAAGGGCGCGUAGGCGGCCAUUCAAGUGACGGGUGAAAGCCCUCGGCUUAACCGAGGAACUGCCUGUCAGACUGGGUGGCUCGAGACCGGGAGAGGUGAGUGGAAUUCCCAGUGUAGCGGUGAAAUGCGUAGAUAUUGGGAGGAACACCAGUGGCGAAGGCGGCUCACUGGACCGGUACUGACGCUGAGGUGCGAAAGCGUGGGGAGCAAACAGG
rnacentral:rRNA from 1 species